UCCCUUGUCCUCCUGCUUUUUGCUCCGUAAGAUCCACCUACAACCUCACAUCCUCAGACCGACCAGCCCAAGAAACAUCUCACCAAUUUCAAAUCCGGAAGGCAGGAAUGUCAGGCCUCUGAGCCCAAGCCAAGCCAUUGCAUCCCCUGUGACUUGCACCUAUAUGCCCAGAUGGCCUGAAGUAACUGAAGAAUCACAAAAGAAGUGAAUAUGCCCUGCCCCACCUUAACUGAUGACAUUCCACCACAAAAGAAGUGUAAAUGGCCGGGUCCUUGCCUUAACUGAUGACAUUACCUUGUGAAAGUCCUUUUCCUGGCUCAUCCUGGCUCAAAAAGCACCCCCACUGAGCACCUUGCGACCCCCACUCCUACCUGCCAGAGAACAAACCCCCUUUGACUGUAAUUUUCCUUUACCUACCCAAAUCCUAUAAAACGGCCCUACCCUUAUCUCCCUUCGCUGACUCUCUUUUUGGACUCAGCCCGCCUGCACCCAGGUGAAAUAAACAGCCUUGUUGCUCACACAAA